GACGAACGCUGGCGGCGUGCUUAACACAUGCAAGUCGAACGGAAAGGCCCUGCUUGCAGGGUAUUCGAGUGGCGAACGGGUGAGUAACACGUGGGUGAUCUGCCCUGCACUUCGGGAUAAGCCUGGGAAACUGGGUCUAAUACCGGAUAGGAGCCAUUUUUAGUGUGAUGGUUGGAAAGUUUUUUCGGUGUAGGAUGAGCUCGCGGCCUAUCAGCUUGUUGGUGGGGUAAUGGCCUACCAAGGCGGCGACGGGUAGCCGGCCUGAGAGGGUGGACGGCCACAUUGGGACUGAGAUACGGCCCAGACUCCUACGGGAGGCAGCAGUGGGGAAGAUUGCACAAUGGGCGCAAGCCUGAUGCAGCGACGCCGCGUGGGGGAUGACGGCCUUCGGGUUGUAAACGCCUUUCGCUAGGGACGAAGCUUUUUGUGACGGUACCUAGAUAAGAAGCACCGGCUAACUACGUG
rnacentral:rRNA from 1 species